AAGUGUUUUAAGCACGAUUAAAAUAAUCAUGCUCACACAUUUUCAGAACUCCGACCCCAACCUCCACGUGGUGCUGGCUGGAUUACAACUGUUGCACAAAAUGUGCAACAAUUGUAUACCAACUGGGGCGGGGGUGUUGUGUUUUUUGUUUGUCGUUUCAGAUCACCGUUUUGCUGUCGAUCAACGGAUACAUUUAUAGUUUUGCUUGCAGCAAAACAAAGUAACUUUUAUGUGCGACAUGUAACCACCAAUCCAUCUCAGAACCAUGUCCUGUCGACACUCUCACCAAGGACGGUUUUAUAUGAUGUAUGCGGCGUGCGGAGUGAGUGUCAAACGAUACUUCAUCUAAGCUGCUCAUAGUUUUCUUCCUCUGCUGCGGUAUCGGAAUCGUAACAUCGUAAAUAUGGCCCCAGCGACCUAUUUCUAUUGUUGCGACAAAUGUCAGCACGCGUCGUACGAAUCAUCGGUGGUAUGCUGUCCGAAGAACAAAGCUGUGAACCCACAGCCCGAUUGCACGAUCAGCAAAGUUACAGCAUAGCGUAAGGUUCAACAC